rnacentral:rRNA from 1 species
CCUACGGGCGGCAGCAGUGAGGAAUAUUGGUCAAUGGGCGCGAGCCUGAACCAGCCAAGUAGCGUGAAGGAUGACUGCCCUACGGGUUGUAAACUUCUUUUAUAAAGGAAUAAAGUGAGGCACGUGUGCCUUUUUGUAUGUACUUUAUGAAUAAGGAUCGGCUAACUCCGUGCCAGCAGCCGCGGUAAUACGGAGGGUCCGAGCGUUAUCCGGAUUUAUUGGGUUUAAAGGGCGCGUAGAUGGGUUGUUAAGUCAGUUGUGAAAGUUUGCGGACCAACCGUAAAAUUGCCAUUGAUACUGGCAGCCUUGAGUACAGUAGAGGUAGGCGGAAUUCGUGGUGUAGCGGUGAAAUGCUUAGAUAUCACGAAGAACUCCGAUUGCGAAGGCAGCCUACUAGACUGCCACUGACGUUGAUGCUCGAAAGUGUGGGUAUCAAACAGGAUUAGAUACCCGGGUAGUC